rnacentral:rRNA from 1 species
UAGGGAAUCUUCGGCAAUGGGGGGAACCCUGACCGAGCAACGCCGCGUGAGUGAAGAAGGUUUUCGGAUCGUAAAGCUCUGUUGUUAAGGAAGAACGAGUGUGAGAAUGGAAAGUUCAUGCUGUGACGGUACUUAACCAGAAAGGGACGGCUAACUACGUGCCAGCAGCCGCGGUAAUACGUAGGUCCCGAGCGUUGUCCGGAUUUAUUGGGCGUAAAGCGAGCGCAGGCGGUUAGAAAAGUCUGAAGUGAAAGGCAGUGGCUCAACCAUUGUAGGCGUUGGAAACUGGUUAACUUGAGUGCAGGAGGGGAGAGUGGAAUUCCAUGGGUAGCGGUGAAAUGCGUAGAUAGAUGGAGGAACACCGGUGGCGAAAGCGGCUCUCUGGUCUGUAACGGACGCUGAGGCUCGAAAGCGUGGGGAGCGAACAGG